UAGAUAGAUUUAUAAUCUAAGAAUAAUAUGUGAAAGAAUUAGAUAAUAAUAGGGUUGAUUGAAAGAACCUAGAAAAAAUAAGAAAACACAGUUUUAAUAUUAUAGAUGAUAGAGUUAUAUUGAUUUUACUUGAAGAAAUAAAGAUUUUAUUUAAGUAAAUUAAAAUAAAAAAGAAUGAAUUGUAUUAAGUUAAAAACAAUUGUAUCUAACAAUAAACAUAUAUAUAGCUCUAAAGAAAAAUUACUUAAGAGUCUUUAAAUCUUAAAUAUAAAUUACACCUUAUAACAUUUGAUAAAGAUCAAAAAACAAUAUGAUGUAUUUAAAAUAUAUUAUUAUCUUGAAGAAGAUUUCAGAAAAAACAAAUAAAAGAACCUUUUAAGUUAGCACUCAGAAGCUUAAAAGAAAAGAAUAAGAUAAUAUUAUAAUACCUUAAAAUAACUAUAAAAAUGAGAUUUUUUUAUUUUUAUAUCAAAACGUUAAAUUGUUUGUACAAGAAAUAAACUGGAAUAAUAAAAAUAAAAUAAAAUAAAUAACUUUAGAACGUCAAAUACUAGAGUUACUUUUUAUUUGUCUCAAUAUAUAAGAAGACUUUUUU